rnacentral:rRNA from 1 species
GAUGAACGCUAGCUACAGGCUUAACACAUGCAAGUCGAGGGGCAGCAUAAGGUAGCAAUACUGAGAUGGCGACCGGCGCACGGGUGCGUAACGCGUAUCCAACCUUCCCGUUACUCAUGGAUAGCCUUCCGAAAGGGAGAUUAAUACAUGAUGGUGUUGAAAUUCCGCAUGUUAUUUCAACUAAAGAUUUAUCGGUAACGGAUGGGGAUGCGUGACAUUAGAUAGAUGGCGGGGUAACGGCCCACCAUGUCUACGAUGUCUAGGGGUUCUGGGAGGAAGGUCCCCCACACUGGAACUGAGACACGGUCCAGACUCCUACGGGAGGCAGCAGUGAGGAAUAUUGGUCAAUGGCCGGAAGGCUGAACCAGCCAAGUAGCGUGAAGGAUGAAGGUUCUAUGGAUUGUAAACUUCUUUUAUACGGGAAUAAAACCUCCCACGUGUGGGAGCUUGUAUGUACCGUAUGAAUAAGCAUCGGCUAACUCCGUGCCAGCAGCCGCAGUAAAAC